GUUGGCGUGGCCGAGUGGUUAAGGUGAUGGAUUACAAAACUUUUGGGAUCUUCCCGCGCAGGUUCGAAUCCUGCCGACAUCG
rnacentral:tRNA from 1 species